AACUUGCAGCAAUGUAUCACUUGGCUCUCGCAUCGAUUAAGAACGCAGCGAAAUGCGAUACGUAAUGUGAAUUGCAGAAUUCCGUGAAUCAUCGAAUCUUUGAACGCACCUUGCGCCUCUUGGUAUUCCGAGGGGCAUGCCUGUUUGAGUGUCAUUGAAUCCUCAAAAGGGAAGCUUCACCGUUUCUCUUUUGGAAUUGGGGUGUGCUGGCCUUUUUUGUUUUGAUGAAGCCCAGCUCCUCUGAAAUACAUUAGCGAUGUGACAUCCGCAUGCACCACGCUUCUCUGGCAUUGAUAGUAUCUUCAUGCUUGGGGCGGGAUCUGCAGCCGUGGAAAGCUUUGCUCGCUCACAACUGAUGGCGUGGAGAGGUGCCUUUGUCCCUCUCCACCGAUCCUCUGACCAAUAUAACCUCAAAUCAGGUAGGAUUACCUGCUGAACUUAAGCAUAUCAAUAAGCGGAGGCU
rnacentral:misc_RNA from 1 species